rnacentral:rRNA from 1 species
UACGUAGGGGGCGAGCGUUGUCCGGAUUUAUUGGGCGUAAAGCGCGUGCAGGCGGCCCGUUAAGUCGGCCGUGAAAGCUCCGGGCUCAACUCGGAGAGGUCGGGCGAGACUGGCGGGCUCGAGGCUGGCAGAGGGCGGUGGAAUUCCUGGUGUAGCGGUGAAAUGCGCAGAUAUCAGGAGGAACACCAAUUGCGAAGGCAGCUCGCUGGGACGUUACUGACGCUGAGACGCGAAAGCGUGGGGAGCAAACAGG